UCUAUCUGACUGUAGCAGAAUGAGAAAUGAUAUUUACAAACAGUAGCUCCAACAAAGGUUUACUUUCCAAAAUAUACAAAGAACUCAUAAAACUUAAC